rnacentral:lncRNA from 1 species
GGGAUGCUUCCCCUCAUGCUUUUGUAAUUCUGAGACCUCUUAAGAGAUUACUGUAAAGGUGAUCCUAUCCAUUUCUUUGGUUAUGUGAUCAUAUAUGUGAAGCCUCACCUAAUAGUAAAUAUGUCCUGAAAUGAGACUGGUUUAAGUUCUAAUGAAUUUUUAUAGUUAAUAUGAAGUCAGACUGCUACUGUUGACAUAGACCAAGCAUGUUUAGAAUUUUCUUCAGGGACCUGAUUAAGAAAUAGAAUUUGGUUAAGAGUUAUAGAUAUUGUACAUAUAUAUCACCCCCUUAACUGACCAUACCAAGUUAAACUUCACCAUGCUUGGGCUGAUGCAUUCACCUGUGUAACUGGGCUAGUUAUCUUGCUACUAGUACCCUGCUUAUUCCAUGUGAAACCUUCUUUGCUCUGAACUUUUAUACUGAAUUUUGUUGGCCUGACCCUGUGCUCUAUCAUGUUGUAGUCUUACACUCAUUAGGGACAUUUCUUGGAUGUGUUUGAUUGUCUGCUCUUGUAUUUCUAUACUCAUUCCUGUUAUCAAACAGACAUAUGCUUAUCUUUCAUACUCAUGCAUAUGUUCUCACAUUGCCCUAUCACAUAAUGAAGAUUGAACCUUGCUAAGUUUGCAUAAGUCAACUAUGAUUCAUUUGUGGAUUUGAGAGAGACUUCUGAUGAUAUCAUGACUUUUUUAAGGAGAAAGUCAUCAUCCAUUAGAGUUGAAACUAAUUUGUUUACUUAAAUAGUCAUGUUGAUGCUCUUUAAAGAUCCUAUAUGACACUAUUAACCCAUACACCUAUUAGAGCUUAAAACUUGACCUGUGCAUGCACCCCGAUUAACUUAAGCCUUGAUUGUUAAGUUUGAGGACCUCUGUAGAUUUGAACUAUGUACCUCUUUUACUUCUUAAGUUGCGUGACUUAAUGGUUUGAACGAUUGAAAUAAUCUUCUACUAAUCUUUUUCCUUAAUUGUACAUGUAAUUUUUUUCUAUGGACAUUCUUCUACAUAUUAGUGGUUCUUAACAAUGAACUACACAUUGGUGUUUGGGUUGAGACCCGUGUAAACUUUGAAGUGCCAGGGACUCAAAGGGUAUCUUGACUAUAAAUGUAAUUUCACCUUAAGCUCUUAAUCAUUGAUAUUUGCCAAUCUCUUUAGGGUUAGUGUCUAAUGAAGAAAAGGCUUCACUGUAAUUUUCCUUACUUUAUUUUAUUUCAGACAAUUUCAUUUGCAUUCUUGACCACAAAUAUUUGUUAUAGUCUCAUUUGAGCCUUGUGUUUGAUCUUAUCUGUAUUUAAAUAUUUUGUUGGGCUUCGUAAAUAAUUUUUACCUUUUUCUCUUGACCAUGUAACUGAACUGGCCCUGUUGAGUUUUAAAGAAUUCAGGCCUCAAGUUCCAGCCUUCGAGUCUGAAGUCACGGGAGCCGCUGCUGCUUGUCUGCUGUUCGCUGGGCCUAACCUUCUUCAGGCCUAAAUUACCUAGUCGUGUUCCUUUUCCUUCCUCAUUAUUAGAUAAUCUGAAUCUGUUAUAUUUUUCUUUAUAUGUGUAUAAUACUAACGAUAUUGAUUGGAUAUUUUAUUUUCCUUAAGACCUUUAGGAACCUAGGCAAGCCAAGAUACAUAGGUAAUAAAAAAAUCACUAUUACGUUACAAUUAGCCAUAAAAUUUUGGCACUUUGAUAAUUUAUUUCAUAGGAUUUUAUUUUGAAUCACUCUAACCAUUUUAAUUGAGUUCUUUGAAGUUCAAAGCAGAUUUGAAAAGCAAUGCAAUUCUUCUAAAGCCAGAAUUGAAAAGGGAUAUUUCAAAUUAGUUUUUCUUCUAAACAAAAUCAACACGGUUAGAAUCAAGGCUACUAAACUUUCAACGAUUUUUCUUCAAAUACAUCGCUACCAAUUGAAACAAAUCUCCAAAGGUAUAUUCAAGGCGCAUUUCUAAUAGUCUUUACUCUACUAGACUUUUAUAGCGAACCAUGUUAUAUAGUAUUCAAACAUAGCCAUAUCUUAUGUCUUUCAAGUCUUGUUGGUGUAAAUGUUAGAAAUUAUUUUUUUCAAGUCUCUCCAAUCAUGUAGAUAUAAAUAUUUCAAGAGGCUUUUACAAAUUAAACCUAAAUUCUCUUUUCAAUGUACAUAUAUUAUUUCCUUUCAAAAUGAUAAGUUUCUAGAACAUAACCUAGAGUAAGUUACACAUAUUUAGCACUAACUAAAGUAGAAUAUAGACGUUUAAUUCCCCGAGGUCUAAGUCCAAUGAAGCUACCUUAGGUAGAUUUUAAGGGGUGCCUAACACCUUUCCUUAGAAGAAUAUGAAUCCUUACCCAAAUCUCACUGGUUAGCAUACUAAUAAGAUAAUGAUCUUAAUAAUUAAAUAGGUACCCUACUAUACCUUUAAAUAUUAGUUGGCGACUCUCUUUUAUAAUUAACAGGGAAACCACUAGUUGAAUCUUAUUUUGACUCGUGCAAAAUAGGGUGCAACAACAUGGCGACUCUGCUGGGGACUACACUUAGGUUCUGAUCUAAGCAGACUUAGACUAUACUCGGAAUUUAGGAAUACUUAUACACUGCUUUAACUGUGUUUAAUUUGCAACUAUGUGCUUACCUGCCUUACUUGCUCAUUAUGUACUUAUCUGCUUGCUUCAAUGUUAUUACUAACAUCCCACUAUUUGUUUUCGCUUUAUAUAUACUUUCAUCACACUCUUCCCUAUCGAAUCAUGGUCGUACACUAUCACGCACAAUGUCAUGUGAGGGUUAUCAUUUACACCCCUCCGAACCUUCUUUCAAAAUUCUUUAGUUUCAGAGAAUGGCUUUGUCAGGUCAACUGACAUAACUUCUCGCAGUAUUCAGUCCAACUAAAAAUUAGGAAACACUCUACUCUAGCAAACAUAGGUCAUAUUGCAUAAGCCUUAGGUAAGUUGGUCCUUGGCAUUGUCACACAAUUAGGAAAUCCACCGUAAUGUCAAUAGGUCAUGCACCCAACGACAUGACUUUUGUGUAAAGACAAACUAAUCAUGACGAGACACUAAUGAUCUGAAUCAAACACUUAUCAAACCCUUUUAUCCACCAUUUUCAGAUUUGGAAAUCAACUAGAACAUCCUCGAAAUCAAUAUGGUAAUGGGAGCACCGAACAAGCUAAAGAAAUGAUGGAAUAAUAUCCGCCGAGAGCAUGGAAACGAAAUCAAGACACACCUGGGAGCAUUGAGUGCCUAACUGAACAUCCGGGCCGAUAGGGUGCACACCCAUUUGCUGAUAGAGUUUUGGGAUGUAGCCAAAGUGGUUUCAAGUUCGCUGACUGUGAGUUGGUGCCAACGUUGGAAUAAGUUACCAACUUCACAGAGCUGCCAUUUACAAGGAAGAAAUCGAUACUACAAGUCACCAUGCCCGGCUAUAGGUUUUUUGAUGCUUUAGGUUUAGUGGGUAAUCGGAGCUUAAGGGACAUUGAAGAUGGAUGGGUAAGCCUGGACCAAUGUUUUGAUAGGUUUGGACAUCGUGAUAACUAUGAAUAGUACAUAGGAGUCUUUCAGUUUGAUCAGGUAACCUGGGAAAGCCCCCGAACCAUAACCUUCUCUUUGGUGCUGCUAGGAUUGUUGGUCUUCCAACAAAGAAGAGGAUAUAUAACCAUUAACUUGUUGCAUGUGAUCUUGUCAACAUUCCGAGGCAACCUCAAAGACACUUUGGUACCUAUGGUGCUAGAAAAAACUUUCAAGGCAUUUUCUGCAUGUUCUCGGGGGUACUAUUUCUUCAAGGGUUGCAACUUGUUGCUCCAAAUAUGGGCCACGGAGAACUUCUUUCAACGAGAUGCCACAUUUGAUUACUUUGUGGGCUUUAGCAACAUGAUUCGAAGUCACAGUUAGAGAAUGAGGCAUUGCGUCUCCCUACAUGGACAGGAAGAAUAGAGAGAGAUGCUAACAAACUUAAGCGGAGAGUGGAUAAACUGGAAGUUGUCAUGGCUGAGCGGCAGGGCAAUUCUAAGGACUCCUAGAAGUAUUUCAUCGAGCUAAUGGGACUCGAGGGUAUUCAAACAUAUACACCCUAUGAGUUCUCAAGCAAUUCGGGUUGAUUCAGGAUGUACCUCUCUAAAUGAGGACGACACUGUAUGAAGACGAGUACAAUGGGCACAUCUCACAACCAAGGAUAAAGGGGCUUUAGAAGUAGUGGAAUGAUCUAAUCACGAUGCCAAAUGGGUCAGAAUUUGUGGUGCACUCUGGAAUAGUAUGUCUGGAUCAAUGAAGAGGAUGAGCUAGCCCGACCAAGUAGGGAGGGAAUAUCCUGGCUGGAAGAUGCAGUGGUGGCUUUGCAAAUAUAUCAUGAGAUUUUGCCGCACUACCUUGUGACUACCUCCAUGCACCGUUAAGUGGUCCCAGGAUAAAUUGAUCAUAUGAUGCCACUUUCUGAGGAUGACCACCGAGUAGCUGAGUGUAUACAAAUUGAGUCUGAGAUAGAAAUAGAAGAAGACCUAGAGGAAGAGCCUGAGUUUAAUGAUGAUGAAGAAGAGUUUGAAGAAGGCCCGAAAGAGGAGCCUAAAGAGGAGGAAGACACGGGGAAUGAUUCUGGGGAUGGUUGUUAGAACCUGGUUGAUUUCACCCCUUUUCCUACCUUGUAUCUUUUAUCUCGAACCCUUCCAAUUACCUAAGGGCAAGUCUGUUGAGCCCAUGUAAUCUUAUGAAAGUUGAAAACAAUGAUGUAACCUUUGCUCCCGCCUGUUACAAUCCAAUAUUAUUAAUGAAAACCAAUUUUGAUUUGGAUAUGAAUAUGUCAAAUCUAAUUGUUUGUCAAAAUUCGCGACUUAGGCCUACCUCCGGCAAAGAGAGGUCCCUCGAACAUUAGGAAAAACGUUUGUUUCAGUACGUGAAUUAACUGCUCUGUGUGAUCAUUAUUUGUACAAACACUGAAACUGAGUUGUGUUCUUAUGCCUUUUUCUUUUCUUUUCUUGUAUUAAUUUAUUCCCCAGAAGAAGAAGUCUAUUUGGUGUUGACCCAAAAACUAGCGGAACCACCAUACAAUUUGAUAUCGAAAACGAAUAUGUCUGCGAUAGAUAACCCGACCAAACACACUCUGAUAAUAGUUGAUAGGCCAGGGUGAUCGAGAGAGAAUAAUGAUACUCGGAAUGAUGAACAUGUUGCUAGGAUGGCCCAAGAGAUGGAAUCGUCAAGGGAGGAACACACAUUCGGGUAUUGGUACAUCUGGUUGUGACGACGCUCCCACAACCACCCCGUUUUCCUUUUCUAGAUUCGAUCCUCGACCAUUUUGUUUCAACUUCUCACCAAGUAAAUAAUACCCCGACUUCAGUCCCUACCACCCAGAUUAUACCCCCAGUAACCCCUUCGAAUCCACCAAACCCAACCUAUACAAACCCCUUAUGUACCAAACUAUAUUCAGACAUCGUAACGCCCACCAGUUUCUACGAACGCAGUUCAUACCCCUCCUCAUGAUUACAUCACCUUCACCACCAAUCAAAACUAGAACAUACCCACGACACAUACCACUACACACGAGUGAUAUGUUCCACCCAUAUAUGUCAUUUCAGAACCAACCUUCACAAUGCCCGUCACGGUCAGGCUGCCUUAUAAAGUUGAUCAAUAUAUGGAAAUGGAAAGGGAAGCUUAGUAUAAGGAGGAAGAGUCAGUAUACGAAUAGUUAUGGGCUUUGAGGAAACAAAUGAAGAACCUUCAACUCGCUCGAGGGAGCGAAAGUCUAGAUUAUGAGGAUCUGUGCGUACACCCUGAUGUGGACAUGCCGAUAUGGUAAAAGCCUUCGAAGUUUGAUAUCUUUGAUGGGACCGGUGAUCCCCAUGCACAGAGCCUGUUGCGAUAAGCUAGUUGGAGUUGGAAGGAAUAAGAAAUUGAGGAUGAAUCUAUUUAUAAGGAUUUUGAUAGGGGAGGAACUUACUUAGUAUACUCUCCAAGAUCCCAAAAACUGGAAGGAGUGGCAGGAUAUGGCAGAAGAUUUCAUGAACCAUUUUUGGUUCAACACAAAAAAUUACCCUUGAUAGAUUUGCCUUGGUAAACUUGUAGAAAAAGCCUUCAGAAUCAUUUCAAGAGUAUGCACGUUGAUAUAGGUCAGAGACUACCAGAGCACAACCCCAGUUAGAUGGCAGCGAGUUGACUAAAUACUUUAUCAAGGCUCAGGAAGGAAUCUACUUUGAGAAAAUGAUGGGCAUGAUGGGGUAUAAGUUCCUUGAACUUGUUAAGAUGGGAGACUUUUUAGAGGAAGGCAUAAAGUUCGGCAUGGUACAAUCUAUGGCUGCAUUGCAAGCAGAAAGCAAAGCAAUUCAAUCAUGUUCAAUAGGAAGCAGAAAUAAGAAAAAAGGAAGAGGUAUCUACAAUCGUUCCCUAUUACCAGUCUAAUCCACACCACGGAAACAAUUAUUAGUCUCCAAAUACCCAUUCCCAACACCCACCUAAUUAUGCUCCAAUAUACAACACACAACCAUUCUACAAUCCCCAACCUCAAUAUAACCCACCUCGGGCCCAUAAAACUUCAAAUCCACCACGACCAUAAGCUGCAGUGCAAACUAUCACUCAUCAAAAUUGACCGACCUAUGCAAUCCGACCUCGCCCAAAUUUUGAAGGAAGAGGUCCCAGAAACUACACUCUGAUUGCUGAACCUUUGGCUCAACUGUAUGAAAGACUGAGGAGAGCUGGCUUGUUACAUCCGAUAAAAGGAAGGAUUCAUGAGAAUCCUUAAAAUACUUUGAUGCAACAAAACGAUGCGUCUACCAUUCAAAUGUACUAGGUUAUGAUACCGAAGAUUGCUUCAAACUAAAAAAUGAAAUUGAAUCACUGAUUAAAAGUGGAGCCGUUCAGUGCACCCCAGCUUUGACUAAUGUGAACCGUAAGCCAUUGUGAAACCAUAGGAAUCAAGGAGCUAAUAUGAUCACCCUAGAUGAAGUGUAUGACUUGAAAGGAACCAUCAUCACGAUCGGAAACACUAAGGCUGCAAUGGUUCUAUCCCUAAGGACUAUGAUGAUCACCGUACAAUUAAAACCUAUUGUGAUGGUCCAGACAUACCAGCAAUAGUCCACCCCUAUUUUCUGAGAUGAGGAGGAUCAAGAAUACAAGACAGUCCCGUGGACAUAUUAGCAAAAAGGGAAAGGCAAGAUGACAUAUUCCGCAUCGGCUCAUAGAAUGACCAGGACAGGUAGGUGUUACGCUCCGGAGGAGGUAAACCGAAGAAAUCUAGGAAGGAAAUAGAUUCAGAGAAAGAAUAUAACAAAUACGGAGGCCACAAAAUUCUGGAACAAGAUGUCAACUAAAGAAUACACCAUGGAGGAACAAUUAAAGAAAACCCGUGCGCAAAUAUUAAUCAUGGAUCUACUGAUGAGUUCUGACAGUCACAAAGACGCCUUCAGGAAAGUGUUAAGUGGGGUGAGCGUGCCGAGCAACACUACCAGUGAGGUACUAGCAGCGACUAUCGGGAUGAUGGUCGAGGCGAACAUGAUUACCUUCCAAAGAGACGAACUUCCCAUAUAAGUCGUGGGUCACAAUAGAUCUUCGCACAUCACCGUCAAAUGUAGAGAUAAGAUGGCAUCCUAAGUACUCGUUGAUGGAGGAUCUAAAGUCAAUAUAUUCCCACUUUACGCCCUAUGAGGGCUGGGUAUUCAUAUAAUAGAAGUAAAAAAAAGUUAUGUGAGGGUAAGAGAUUUCAACGGGUCGCAAAAGGACAUCAUUGGAGAAAUCUAUUUACCUUUGCAAAUUUGACCAGUUGAGGUUCCCAUAUUGUUCCAAGUAAUGGACAUUUCACCGUCAUAUAAUCUGUUGUUGGGAAGGCCUUGCAUACAUAUGGGAAAGGUAGUCUCAUUUACCCUCAAUAAAUGCAUGAAGUUCGAGUGGGGUUGUGAAGAGAUUGUAGUUCAUGGAAUAUUUAGCCAAUCAGCUUAUCUAGAACAUGCAGUUCCAUUCAUAGAAGGAUUAGAUGGGAUCGCUCUUCAUGCGGUCAAGAUUAUGCAGACCACUGAGAUAGGAGAGACCGAGCAAAAUCUGGGUAUGAAAUCACCAUACAAAUCAAAGAUGGCUAUGAGAGAAAUGAUGAAGUACGGGUACAGACCAGGGACCAGGUUGGGAGCCCGAUCAGAUGGGAUAAUAGAAUCGAUUGAGCCAAGGGGGCAGAAAGGUAGAGCCGGAAUAGGGUAUCAGCCUCCAACUCAAAAGACUUAUACUGGUGGCUUUGGGAACAAAGAUUUUAUGCCAGCGCAUGUUUUAUGUCCGAUUCAAAGGUCAACACCCGAGGACGAUAUCGUCGAUGGAAUGGGAAGGUUGUUUUUUACCAUGAUCGAGGAAUGCUGUGACAAAAUUGAUAUCACGACACCGACCACUCAGAAUGCCAAACCAGGAGAGGACUUGCAGAAUUGGACUGCCAGCCCGUCUUUGGUUUGCUGAGAAUUUUGGUAGUGUGGAAUUGUAAAACCUUUUGAAAAAAGUGCACGAUUAACUGAGGCUUGAACUGUGCCCAUACUCUUUUAUCAAUUACCUCCUUGAACCCUUAGACGUUCCUCUUUUGAUGAAAUAAAACGAAAUGGUUUCUUAAAAUUGUUGUAAACUUAUUUAUCGCUUCAUUUAUACUUCAUUUUUCUUUUUAGUAAUCAAAACGAUAAAAACCCGUGUUUCGUGAUUAUGACAUGUAACAAAACCCUCGAGCAAAGUGAUCCAGAUUAUGAGGAAUAUGAUGAAAGCAUAAUGCCAAAUAAUCUCCCACAAGAGAUUGAGUAGUUGGAAAGACUGAAAAAAACCUAACCUCGAAGAGACAGAAGUAGUCAACCCGGGAAGCGAAGAAGCUGUGAAAGAAACGCGAAUCAGCAUCCAUUCAGAAGCAGAGCAAAAAGACGAAUUGUUUUAGCUCCUCAGAUAGUGCAUCGACGUAUUUCAUGGUCGUAUGACGACAUGCCUGGAUUAAGCACCAAUAUCAUUUCGCAUAGACUGCCUACCAAUCCUGCUAGUCCACCAGUCAAACACAUACCUAAGAAGUUCAAGCCGGACUUGAGUUUGAGGAUGAAAGAAGAUGUAACCAAGUAAAUAGAGGCAAACGUGGUGAGAGUCACCAAUUAUCUCAUGUGGUUGGCGAAUAUUGUACUGGUACCAAAGAAGGAUGGGAAGAUCAGGAUAUGUGUGGAUUAUCGAGAUCUUAACAAGGCCACUUUGAAAGAUGAUUUCCCUUUACCAAAAAUUCACAUCCUCAUCGACAAUUGCAUGAAGCACGAGGUGUAGUCAUUCAUGGAUUGUUUUGUCGAGUACCAUCAGAUACUGAUGCAUGAAGAAGAUGUAGAAAAGACAGUGUUCACUCCGUCUUGGGAGUUUAUUGCUAUAAAGUCAUGCCAUUCGGUCUCAAGAAUGCCGGUGCUUCUUACACGAGGGUCAUGACGACCCUCUUUCACGACAUGAUCCACAAAGAGAUUAAGGUAUAUGUGGAUGACGUCAUUAUCAAAUAUCGAAAGAGUGCAGAACAUUGGGACGACAUAAAGAAGUUUUUUGAACUCUUGCGGAGGUAUAGUUUGAAGUUGAACCCUAUAAAAUGUGCAUUCGGAGUCCCUGCCGGAAAAUUAUUAGGUUUCACCGUAAGCAGGAAAGGGAUAGAAUUGGAUCCUUCAAAGAACAAAUCCAUUCAAGACUUCCCACCCCUAAAAGCAAGAAGGAUGUAAUGAGUUUUCUUGGUAGACUAAAUUACAUAAGCCGAUUCAUAGCCAGUCCACGGUAAUUUGUGAGCCUAUCUUCAAGCUAUUGAAAAAUGAUGCCGCUAUAAAAUGGACAGAAGAAUGUUAGAAACCCUUUAACAAGAUCAAGGAGUACUUGUCAAAUUCACUAGUGUUGGUUCCUCCUGAGCCCGGGAAGCCAUUGUUGUCAUACCUGUUAGUAUUGGACAAUACAUUUGGAUACGUGUUGGGACAACACGAUGAGAGCGGGAGAAAAGAGCAAGCUAUCUACUACUUAAGACAUAAGUUUACCCCAUGUGAACCCAAAUACACUUAGAUAGAGCGCACUUGUUGUGCCUUGACUUGGGUCACGCAGAAGUUGAGGCAUUACAUGACAGCAAACACCGCACAUCUAAUAUCCCGGCUCGACCCGCUCAAGUAUAUCUUCCAGAAGUCGAUGCCUACAGGAAAACUGGCCAAAUGGCAGAUUCUUCUCAGCGACUUUGACAUUGUGUACAUAACACAAAAGGCCAUCAAAGGACAAGCCCUAGCUAACCACCUUGCAGAGAAUCCAGUGGACAAGGAUUAUGAACCUCUCACUAUAUACUUUCCGGAUGAAGAAGUGUUGUUCGCCGGAGAAGACGUUGCAGAGUCAUACCCUAGAUGAAUAAUGUUCUUCGACGGAGUAGAAAAUUUCAAAGGAGUAGGAAUUGAGGCAAUCUUGAUUUCAGAGUCAGGAUAACAUUAUCCGGCAUUGGCAAAGAUAAGGUUCCCCUGUACCAAUAAUAUAGCCGAGUACGAAGCAUGCAUCUUCUGGAUUAGGAAUGCGGUCGACAUAAACAUCAAGCACAUUCUCAGGAUCCAAAACGAGUUUGUCGAUACUCUCGUAAGCUUGUCAUCCAAUAUCCAACAUCUAGAUAAGAAUUGUAUCGACCCUAUUGAGAUAGAGAUGAGGGAUCUGCAUGCGCACUAUUUCCAUGUAGAUGAAGAGCCAUACGGUAAGUCGUGGUACCAGGACAUCCAAAGGUUUCUUGCAACAUGAGAGUAUCUAGAGAGCGCCACGAUGGUUCAGAAGUGAGCACUCAGAAGGCUAGCAAAUCAAUUUUUCCUCAAUAUGGAAGUCCUGUAUAGAAGGACCCUAGAGUUGGAUAUGUUAAGAUAUGUAGAUGUUGUUGAAGAAACCAGACUGCUAGAAGAAAUACAUGCAGGGACAUGUGGACCACACAUGAACGGUAUCACCUUAGCCAAUAAGAUUUUAAGAGCCGAAUAUUUUUGGAUGACCAUGGAAAGUGAUAGUAUCCGCUAUGUGUAAAAGUGUCACUAGUGCUAGAUCCACGUGGAUUUAAUCCGGGUUCCACCUAAUGAGUUGAAUGUAAUGGGUUCGCCUUGAUCGUUUGCCGCUUGGGGCAUGGACAUAAUCGGACCUAUAGAGCCCGCUACAUCAAAUGGACACCGUUUUAUUGAUGUAGCAAUUGAUUACUUCACCAAAUGGGUUGAAACUUCUACAUACAAAGCCUUCACAAAUAAAGUAGUGGUAGAUUUCAUGCGUAACAAUAUAGUCUGUCGGUUUGGGAUACCCGAGUCAGUUAUCACUGAUAAUGCAGCCAAUCUCAAUAGUGUUCUCAUGAGUGAAAUUUGUGAGACGUUCAAAAUCGUCCACCGUAACUCUACAGCCUAUAGACCGCAAAUGAAUGGAGCAGUUGAAGAAUCCAACAAAAUCAUUAAAAGGAUUUUACGAUGAGAACAUCCACUAGGGCAACGCCAUAGAUAUUGGUAUAUGGCACCGAAGCUGUGAUACCCGCACAGGUCGAGAUACCAUCCUUGAGAGUCAUUCAGGAAGCCAAGUUGGACGAGGCAGAAUGGAUACAGGUUAGGCAGGAGCAACUCAUGCUCAUGGACGAGAAGAGAAUGGACGUAGUAUGCCACAGUCAGCUGUAUCAAAAUAGGAUGACCAGUGCAUUCAACAAAAGGUCGAAACCUCACCAAUUUACAGUGGGGCAGUUUGUUCUAAAGAAAACAUUCUCUCACCUAGAAAAAGCGAAGGGAAAGUUUGUGCCAAAUUGGUAGGGUCCUUACAUGGUCCAUUGAGUGUUGUCGGGAGGAGCACUAAUCUUGGCAUAGAUGAAUGGAAGAGUCAGCACAAAGACUAUCAGCUUAGAAGCAAUCAAGAGAUACUACAUUUGGAGAAAGUAAAGUUAGGUUUAGGUUGUAACAGAACUACGUUGUCAUGACCCAAAAUCCGACUAGUCGUGAUGGCACCUAACCCAACCGCUAGGUAUGCCACUUAGCCACUAAUCAAUUCCAAUAACAAUUAAUAAAGCAAUUUAAGUAAAGAAUUAUCUUAAUCUUAUAUAUUUCCCAAGAACUGGUAGUACAAAUCAUGUGCUUCUAAGAAUAGAGUAUACAACGCUUGUACGAUGUAAACACAUCAUCUAUUUGAAAAGUAAAAAAAUAGAGUUUUAUGAAUCUAAGGCUACCAUGAACACGAGGAAGCUACAACCGGAGCAUAGGUACAUCUUCAAAUCCAGCUCCCAACGAACGCAACAACAUCAGCAACCAACAUAUGCACGCAAGGUGCAAAAGUGUAGUAUGAGUACAACCGACCCCAUGUACUCAAUAAGUAACAAACCUAACCUUAAGUUGAAAGUAGUGACGAGCUUGUACCAAGGUCGGGUACCAACUUCAAUAACCAACAAUAGUUCAUAACAACAUAAAAUAGGUAAUACCAUAAGUAACUCAACAAUCAAAUGCUCAACAAAAACAUGAUUUCUGAAAAUAAUUCUGCCUUUCAAGUACAUCAAUGAAAACCCAAAUCGUUUACCGGAAUUGCCAAAAAUAUGAAUAAAUUUGAAAACAAUAUUUUUCGCAAAAUCCUUUUAAUAAUAAAUAAGAUGUUUCAUUUUCUUUCCAGAUAACCAGUGUAAAACAAAUGCAUCACUAUGCCCAUCUGUCAACAUGUGUGAGAAAUCAUGAAUGAUGUGAUACCGUACAGCAUGAGAAAAAUACAUCUCUAUGAUUGUAUGUCAUGUGUGCACGUCAAUGCAAUGUAUCUCAAAGAUGAACUCAUGUAAUUACACUCUCAGAGUACUCAAUCUCACUUUCUCACACAUUCCACUUAUCAUGCGUAAUCACUCUGUAAUAUUUAUGGCCAAUCCGGCCCAGGGAAGAUCCAUCCCGGAAUAUACACAUCAACUGAUCUUCAGUCACUCAGUACCGAGUAGGACCAAUCCAUCCUGUGGAAAAGAUCCAUCUCCAGGUAUAUAAUACUUCUGACAAGAUCCAUGCCCAGGGAAGAUCCAUCCCUCAAUAAUAUCAACCACGCUCACUGGGGGUGUACAGACUCCGGAGGGGCUCCUUUAGCCCAAGUGCUAUAAAUCGCAUGGACAACUCACGUGCUGCACGGACAACUCACGUGCUAUAGUAAAGCCUAUAGGGCCUGCUACGUGCGCGUAGCCCCGAUCCACAUAAUAAUAAUAAUAUAUAUACAGCCAAUAUGGCCUGCUGCAGGCGGGCAACCCCGAUCCACAUAAUAAUAUCCUCACAGUCAGGCUCUCGGCCUCCCUCAGUUAUCAAUCACUCCAGUCUCUCUCUUAUCGGCUCACAAUGUUAUUAAAAUAGACCAAAAAUGAUGAUAUGAUGUAUCAAUAAAUAAUAGAGACUGAGAUAUGAUAUGCAAUGAAAUGAAUAUGACUGAGUAUAAAAUUUCAUUUUGAACAAAUAAUUCAUAGCAAUAUGACCUUUGUGGGUCUCAAUAAUAUUGGCACAUAGCCUCACAUGAUUUUUAAUAUGAUUCUCAGUUCAAUUUCUUUAACACAUAAAACUACAUUGAAAUUGCCAAGAUUAUUUGACUACAAAAUUCCACGGAACAAUUACGUCAAAAUUUCUAUGGUGCAAGCCCACAUGCCCGUCAUCUAGCAUGUGCGUCACCUCCAAACAUUUCACCUAAUACGUAUUUUAAGGGUUCAUACCCUCAGCUCCAAGAUUAGAAGAGUUACUUACCUCGAACAAGACAAAUCCAAUUCUGAGCAAGAUCAAAAUGCUCCAGAAAUCCCAUUCUGCGCGUAUCAACUUCUGAGCGGCUCGAAUCUAGCCACAAUAAAUUUGAUUCAGUCUACACAAUUAUAGGAAUUAAUUCCUUAUCAAAAUACUAAUAUUUUCCCAAAAACAUCCGAAACUACACUCCAAAAAAAUCGCCCAUGUGGCCCACAUCUCGAAAUCGGACAAAACUUACAAAAUCUGACAACCCAUCCAAUUACAAGUUCAACCAUACUAAUUUCACUCAAUUCCGACUCCAAAUCGAUGUUCAAAACUCCAAAAAUGCGUAUUAUGAACUGUAGGCCAACACCCCCAAUUUCCACUUUAAAUUCAUCAACCAAUUGCAAAAAUGAAGAUAGAUUCAUGGAAUAUAAUCACAAGGGAGUCAAGAACACUUACCCCAAGUUGUGUGGAAAACUUCCUCUCCAAAAUCGCCCAAACCGAGCUCCAAAAUGACCAAAAUGAGAAAAAUCUCGGAAACCCUCAUUUUUAACAUUGCCCAGGCAUUUCCGCACCUACGGUGCCUGGGCUCGCACCUGCGCAUAUGCUUUUGUGGAAGGAAUUGCGCUUCUGCGGACCUCACUUACCCAGCUAGCCUCCGCUUCUGCCAUGCUUAGGACCGCAUCUGCGGUCGCGCUUUUGUGCAAAAAUCCCUGCACCUGCGAAGACCCCACGCCAGCCCCAAUCCCGCAUUUGCGCCAACCACGCUGCUCCUGCGGCAUCGCACCUGCGGCCAAGACCCUCACAGGUGCGAUCACAUCAGAGGCAGUAGUUCCAGCAUUUUCCUUAAGUCCGAAUUUGAUCAGUUAACCAUCCGAAAUGCACCCGAGAUCCCCGGGAACUCAACCAAAUACACCAACAAGUCCUAAAACGCACCAUGGACCUAUUUGAGGCCUCAAAUCACAUCAAACAACAUCAAAAUGAUGAAUCAUACCCCAAUUCAAAAUCUAUGAACUUAGAACUUUCAAAUUCUAUAUCUUGUGCCGAAACACAUCAAAUCAAUCCGGAAUGAAUUAAAAUUUUGCACACAAGUCAUAAAUGACAUAAUGAAGUUGUUCCCAUUUUCAGAAUCAGAUUCCGACCCCGAUAUCAAAAAGUCAACCCCCGGUCAAACUGCCCAAAAAUUCAACUUUCGUUAUUUCAAGCCUAAUUCAACUACGAACCUCCAAAUAAUUUUUCGGACACGCUCCUAAAUCCAAAAUCACCACACGAAGCUAUUGGAAUCAUCAGAAUUCAAAUUUGAGGUCGUUUACACAUAAGCCAACAUUCGGUCAACUUUUUCCAACACAAGCUUUCCAUUGUGAGACUAAGUGUCUCAAUUCAUUCCGAAAUCCUUCCGAACUCGAACUAACUAAUCCGAUAGGUCAUAAUACAGAUAUAAAGCACAAAUAGAGCAGUAAAUGGGGAAAUGGGGUUGUAAUACUCAAAACGACCAGCUGGGUCGUUACAUUCUCCCCCAUAUGUUCGUCCUCGAAUGUGCCAAGAGCUGUUUCUAAGCCAUCAAAUCACUAUUCCAUAUUACCCCGCACAUACCCCGGGGUGAUCCCACAUCACCCUAUUCCACAUAGGCCUAACAACAUAAUACAACUGAAAAUCCUUAAUUUAACUUUAACCCAAAACCCUUAGAAUUCAAUUCCCAGCCUUCAGAAUUUCUUACAAGACACAAAUCUCACUGUUACACACUGUAUAAGUCUGAACAAGCUGCAUCGAGCCAUGACCAUAACCCCAGAUAUAAUCACAUAACAUACCACACAACUCACUUACUCGCAGCACCAUUCCCGAUCACAGUAACUACUCCAACUAACCCGGUACUAGUAUUAAACCCCAUAUCAAACAAAACCUCAUUCCAAAACCUUGUUCCAAAACCUUCGUACACUUCUGAUAAUGAAAGAAACACGCAGAAAUCUCAGGACCCCUUAUCAGAUCAACAAGUGAUGGAGCUCUCUCUCCCCAACCAGAACCAUAAUCACUUUCUAAGCCGAAUUUCAAUAUUAUUCUCCCGAAUAUACCGUUUCAAACCUGAUAGUACUCAUUCUAGGUCCAAUGACCUUAUAUUAUUAAAUACAUCUAUCCCACAGACAUGCCACACCAAGAUAACUCAGAGCCACAAACCGUGCCAUCCAUGCGCCAAUACGCAACAAUUCAAAUGUACUAAGUCAUGAGAAAUGACUCAAAUGAGAGAACUGCCCCGCAAGAUUAACAAAUACUGCCACAAAGAAAUGCUGGAAAUCCAUCACACACUGUAGAACCAUCACACGAUUCUAACAUAAAGUACAUACCUUUACAUAACUCCACUGCAAUGCGUGACCCCAUCCAAACGCCGGUCCAUAUUAUAUACUUCGAGUCACCCUGCUCAGAAUCAAUAACCAUGGAGAGGCAAAUGACACAAUGUCACACAAAACCUAAAAGAACAUAACCAAUACACAAUCGGUCAUGCAAUACCCAAAUACUCAUCUAGCUUGAAUUCCGCCAUGAGGCCCCCAAUAGAACCAUGCCAUGUGUACAUAUAACCAAUGAAUCACAACUCCUCGUAGUAUAGAAGCGUAACGCACAUAUCAUUUCAGAACACGAAUAAGCUCAACAACAACCUAAAGGAACAUUCUUCGACAAUAGCAGUGUGGAGCCAACCAAUCCUACUUAGUGUAGAAUACACAUCCUAAUUGGGCCUACCGAUGGAUCCCCAAAUUAACUCUGGUCACCCAUACAUAGAUAAAUAACCCUCCAAAAAUCCACAAUGACUGAGUCAUAAUACACACUAUUAUCUGGCUAGCUUCUACCACGACUUUAUAGUUCACAACCAUGAAGCAAUCUGCUCCUGACAACUCCCAGUCUCCCAAUCACUAGGACACGCGAAUCACUAUUUCUGAUCCAAUCUCCACCGCCCGAAUGAAUAUCACAUCCUUCAUGCACGACAUCCUUCAUGCACGAUCAUCCCACUAGGAAUAUUUCCAUAAUUCUUCCGUGCCACAUAGCAAUAAUUUAAAUAUCAGCAGUCUAACAACCAGGAUAGUGCCGCGAUACCUAUGACAUUUUCAUAAUUCAAAACAUAGUGUGCCUUCUGAAAUGUACACUCUACUCACGCAAUACCAAAUAGUUAUAGCGGUCAUCUAAACAUAGAAAACCGUCCAUGCCAUCUAAGAAUUUAUGACCUCCCCUUCAAUACUAAACCGUGGCCUUGCGCACGCAAACCUUAAUCCCACAUAACACACUACAUCUAUAAUGUCAUCAUAUGAAAAAAAUACGAGAACCUCAUAAUCAUUCAGGGUCUCAAGUAGAAUACAUACCCGAUUAGUUGGAAUCCUUCCUCUUGCUUCCUUCCAGGAGGAAAUCACAAUACAAAACACGUUCCCCACAUCGGUAGAAAAUAUCUGGUUCAAACCAUGGUAGAAACCAUCAAUAACACUUUGAAAUCCAUUUGCACAUAACCAAGCUAUUAGAAUCGAAUUCCUCUAACUCGACCUAGCCACGCAGGUCACCAAACCUAAUAAUAUUGCCACCAAAACAUCUAUAAAGUCUUACCACAUCUUGAUUGCCCAAAGAACCGAUCAUACCCAUUACCAUACUGAUCCAACCUACUAACAAGUUGUCCUAUUUCUCCGAGUCCCUUCCGAAUUUGUCUUCAGAUUGAUACUUCUUAUUGCUAAAACACCACGACCUUUAACCACAACUCACCACAUAAACCUUAGCAUAGAACCACAACGCCUUACGACCCAUAAGCAACUGUAUUCACUUUAAGCACCUCCAUAAAUACCACAACUGUAACACUCAUUUUGAAAAUAACUUAUGUGAAAUUUAAAAUUGUUUUUCUUACCUUCCUUAUACUAAAAUGUAGAAUACAUAGUCGUAUAGAAUUUCUGCAAGUCCAGGCACCAUCUAAUGCAAAUCUCAAAUUUUUACCUCUACAGAAGUCUGGAGAAAUUCUCAACUGCUAUAUAUAAACCUCGAACCUAUUGGAACUUUCUCGAGAGUCACCCACUUUGUUAAAAUCAAAAUUACACCACCCAAAUGGGCUGAAAGAUACGUUCUCCAUUAGCACAUCACUCCAAGAGGUAAUCCUGCCUUAAUACCACCGAUCAAAUUCAUACUCAGUGAGCACUACAUCAUUCACAAAUAACAACUCACUCAUCCCAUGAUUUUCAUAUACUCAUAAAGUGCAAUAUAACCCGUAUCCAGGAUUUUCCUUACCCGAGUCAUUCUCGAACUCCACCUCUGCAAGUCCUCACCCAAGUAUGCCUCAGGCCAAAACAAAAAUUUGACACAUAACCAUGAAUUGAUUUUUCCAAUAGCAAACUCCCCCACUUGGCUCAAAGCCAUAAAUUUAAACACUCGAUAACUCACAAUAUCCAUACUCUAUUACUGUCAUAAUACCGUAGUCAGUACAAUGAAAAUUCUCCUCAAGCUCAUGAAACGCCAACCAUAAAAAUAUUCCAAAUCAUCCGCUAAGCUCGCAUUCAUUCUCUUAACACUCAAGUCAACUUUCUCAACCAGAUUCAAAUUCAAAUCUAAACAUAUAUGCCCAACUGGCAGAAAAGAAACACUCUACUCACAUUAUAAGGAAUAUACCUACGUAGAUUACUCCGCAGGGGAUAACCCACCUGCUUAGCCUCAAAUUGGUAGCUUGUUAUACCCUUUUGCCGUUACAAUUACAAUGAAAUCACUUAGUCUUUGUGAGUCCAAACUCAUUAACCAGUCAUAAUAAUUUAAUUUAUUCCAAAAUUUAACAAUAUGAAAGAUCUUUCAAAACUUUCACACUCGAGACUAUACGUUGCAUAAAAAUGAAAAUCAAGCACCCAAUGGCCUUCCUUUACACUUCAAGAAAACACUUCUCGCCACAUUCACAUCGUCUUAACACAUCUCACAGUUACAUCAUACUCAUUACAAAUCCAUUUCACCGCUCAUCGAGCUACAAAUUCCGCUCGUAGGGACAUUAUCAGACAUAUGAGACCAAAUGUACAAGUUACAACUGAAGCUACUGAGCUUAAGCUGCGGUUCAACCAUGGCCUCAAGUCCUCCAGACUGGCCCAUCACCAAAACACAUAAUACAUAUCUCGAACCUCAUUCAUAGAAUCAUAUGCCGACGAUGCACGCCUGAUACCGAGCAUUCCUGUGUACAUACGAAUGCGUGGAAGGAAUUCAAAGAGUUAUGUUUCAAGCUGAGUCAAUUUUGCAUGAUAAGAAAAGAAAGAUGGGANNNNNNNNNNNNNNNNNNNNNNNNNNNNNNNNNNNNNNNNNNNNNNNNNNNNNNNNNNNNNNNNNNNNNNNNNNNNNNNNNNNNNNNNNNNNNNNNNNNNNNNNNNNNNNNNNNNNNNNNNNNNNNNNNNNNNNNNNNNNNNNNNNNNNNNNNNNNNNNNNNNNNNNNNNNNNNNNNNNNNNNNNNNNNNNNNNNNNNNNNNNNNNNNNNNNNNNNNNNNNNNNNNNNNNNNNNNNNNNNNNNNNNNNNNNNNNNNNNNNNNNNNNNNNNNNNNNNNNNNNNNNNNNNNNNNNNNNNNNNNNNNNNNNNNNNNNNNNNNNNNNNNNNNNNNNNNNNNNNNNNNNNNNNNNNNNNNNNNNNNNNNNNNNNNNNNNNNNNNNNNNNNNNNNNNNNNNNNNNNNNNNNNNNNNNNNNNNNNNNNNNNNNNNNNNNNNNNNNNNNNNNNNNNNNNNNNNNNNNNNNNNNNNNNNNNNNNNNNNNNNNNNNNNNNNNNNNNNNNNNNNNNNNNNNNNNNNNNNNNNNNNNNNNNNNNNNNNNNNNNNNNNNNNNNNNNNNNNNNNNNNNNNNNNNNNNNNNNNNNNNNNNNNNNNNNNNNNNNNNNNNNNNNNNNNNNNNNNNNNNNNNNNNNNNNNNNNNNNNNNNNNNNNNNNNNNNNNNNNNNNNNNNNNNNNNNNNNNNNNNNNNNNNNNNNNNNNNNNNNNNNNNNNNNNNNNNNNNNNNNNNNNNNNNNNNNNNNNNNNNNNNNNNNNNNNNNNNNNNNNNNNNNNNNNNNNNNNNNNNNNNNNNNNNNNNNNNNNNNNNNNNNNNNNNNNNNNNNNNNNNNNNNNNNNNNNNNNNNNNNNNNNNNNNNNNNNNNNNNNNNNNNNNNNNNNNNNNNNNNNNNNNNNNNNNNNNNNNNNNNNNNNNNNNNNNNNNNNNNNNNNNNNNNNNNNNNNNNNNNNNNNNNNNNNNNNNNNNNNNNNNNNNNNNNNNNNNNNNNNNNNNNNNNNNCAAUUUCUUUAACACAUAAAACUGCAUGCAAAAUACAAAGAUUAUUUGACUAUAAAAUUCCACGGAAUAAUUACGUCACAAUUUCUAUGGUGCACGCCCACACGCCCGUCACCUAGCAUGUGCGUCAUCUCCAAACAAUUCACAGAAUACAUAUAUUCAGGGUUCAUACCCUCAGUUCUAAGAUUAGAAGAGUUACUUACCUCGAACAAGAUGAAUCCAAUUCUGAGCAAGAUCAAAAUGCUCCAGAAAUCCCAUUUUGUGUGUAUCAAUUUCUGAAUGGCUCGAAUCUAGCCACAAUAAAUUUGAUUCCGUCCACAUAAUUAUAUGAAUUAAUUCCUUACCAAAAUACUAAUAUUUUCCCACAAAAUUCGAAAUUACACUCCAAAAAAAUUGACCUAUCUCUGAAUCAAACGAAACUCACAAAAUCGGACAACCCAUCCAAUUACAAGUUCAACCGUACUAAUUUCACUCAAUUUCAACUUCAAAUCAAUGUUCAAAACUCCAAAAAUUCGUAUUAUGAAAUUUAGGCCAACAUCCCCAAUUUCCUCUUUAAAUUCAUCAACCAAUUGCAAGAAUGAAGAUAGAUUCAUUGAAUAUAAUCACAAGGGAAUCAAGACUCUCGCAGGUGUGAUCACAUCAGAGGCAGCAAUUCCAGCAUUUUCCUUAAGUCCGAAUUUGAUCUGUUAACCAUCCGAAACUCACCCGAGGCCCCCAAGACCUCAACCAAAUACACCAACAAGUCCUAAAACAUACCACAGACCUACCCGAGGCCUCAAAUCAUAUCAAACAAUAUCAAAAUGAUGAAUCAUACCCCAAUUCAAAAUUUAUGAUCUUAGAACUUUCAAAUUCUAUAUCUUGUUCCGAAACACAUCAAAUCAAUCCGCAAUGACUUCAAAUUUUGCAUACAAGUCAUAAAUGACAUAACGAAGCUAUUUCCAUUUCUAGAAUCGAAUUCCGACCUUGAUAUCAAAAAGUCAACCCCCCGGUCAAACUUACCAAAAAUUCAACUUUCGCCAUUUUAAGCAUAAUUCCACUACGGACCUCCAAAUAAUUUUUCGGACAUGCUCCUAAGUCCAAAAUCACCAUACAAUGCUAUUGAAAUCAUCAGAAUUCAAAUCGGAGGUCGUUUACACAUAAGCCAAUAUCCGGUCAACUUUUCUAACUUAAGCUUUCCAUUAUGAGACUAAGUGUCUCAAUUCAUUGUGAAAUCCUUCCGAACCCAAACUAACUAAUCAGACAGGUCAUAAUACAGCUAUAAAGCACAAAUAGAGCAGUAAAUGGGAAAACGGGGAUACUCAAAAUGACCUGCCGGGUCGUUACAUACGCUCGACCUGACUUCCCGCAGAGGGAUACAUAGGCAACCCACAUAGGGUCCGGUCUCUCUCUCCCCCUCUUCUUUUGGGAACUACACUGCAACUUGAUUUCCUUGGGAAGGAAUACGUAGGCAAUCCUCAUCAGAUUCAGUCAUCUUUUGUAAUUGAACUACAUUAUGUCUUGAUUCCAUUUGGAUACGUAGGUAGUCUGAGUAAGACUCGACCACUUCAUUUUCAAUCUAAUCAAUUUGCAUCUAUUGUAACUGAACUACAUUUUGACCUGAUUCCAUUUGGAUAUGUAGGCUACUUGAGUCAGGCUCGGUCAUCAUCAUCAUAUUUUCUUUAUCGUUACCCACGAACUACGUUCAUACCUGAUUCCAUUUCAAAUACAUUGGCAACCUGGAAAGGUUCGGUCAUAAACUUAGGAAAACCUUUGUAUUGCAUUAGUUUAGAUUAGGAUACAAUCGCAGAGGGAAGAAUCCACGUCAUUAGAAGCAUCUUAGAGGAUCGACAUCAACGAGACAAAAUCUUCUAGAAAAAAACAUUCGCGUUUGAGGGGUUUUCUAAACAUGUCAUAAUCUGGAGCGACGACAUUUUCCAUACGAUAAAAGAUUUUCAAAAUGUUUUCUCAAAAUUAAAAAUAAAACUACCGUUCCACCUACCAAACUUCAUGAUGUAAUGUAACACCUCAGAAGAUUUUGAAGUAUUUAAGUGUAAAGCCCCGCAAAAUUUCGAAAAUGAAUUUAAGGUUUUGUGGUGCCGGAGUAGGUAUACGUGUUUGAGGAUUUUUGAAGGCUCAGACUUUUUGGGUUGAACAAUGCACCGGAAUGUAAAGGAAAAUUUUUGGCGGAAAAGCGUGUUUCUAUGGUCCAUUAUGCGACCAAAGAACCAAUCUACGGGCCGCAUAAUGGCCGCAGAAGUGAGGCAGGAGAGGGUCAGUCUGGAAGCAAUUAUGCGAUCGACUAUGCGAUCGCAUAAGUGUUCUGCGGUGCAUUAUGCGACCAUAGAACAGUUAUGCAGACCGCAUAGUGACCGCAUACACAGACAGAUGUUUGGUCAUUUUGGUCAGCAACUAUGCGACCGAUAUGCGGUCCUCAUAUUGAUUAUGCGAUCGCAGAACCUAUUCCAGAGCUUUAUUUUUGGGUUUUUACAACCCAACCAACUUCGUUAAAUACACGCAAAGGGUCAUUUUUGAGCAAAAAUUCUGAUAUUUUAGAGAGAAAGGAGAGUGUUUUAGAGAGAGAAGAUUAACAAGGAAAUCUUCAAUUUAUUCAUCAAGUCUUGCUCAAAACUUGGAAGAUUAACAAGGAAAUAUCACAAGUUCUUCAUCUAAGAGGUAAGGUUCCAUAUCCUAGUUUUCAAUUUCGAAUUUGGGAAGAAGAUGGUUGAUUAGGAGUGUGAUUCUUGCAUAUGAGAGUAUUAUUUAUACAUGCAUGUAUCAAUAAGAUUUGUGGAAAGAUUGUUGAGCUUAAAUAAGUAAGGGUUGGGUUGUGGAGUGAAGGAAAUCUUGUAGAAGAACCUUGUGGUUAAAUUUACACACCUAGUGUUUGAUAAAUUGCUCAAACGAGCUGGGAUCAUGAAUAUCUUUCUAAUAAUGGUUCAAUUUUGUUAUGUCUCAAAAUAGAUUGGGAUUGCUAAGAAUUCCAGAAUAUUUUAGAGUUAAGAAAGCUCGAUUGAGGUAUGUUGGCUAAACUACUCUCUUAGAAUUGAAUUCAAUGAUGUUCUCAUAAGUUUCAAGCAUGGUUGUCUCAAGUUCCUUAUUCAAUGUUCCGAGUUGUUUCCAAUAAAUUCGAUUGUCUCGAAUAAGCAAAGUGUCGAGAAUUAUGUAUUCAAAAUGUGUUCUGAAUGUUCCUAUCACAUUAUGUUAUCUUUUGGGAAUGUGUUCAAGAGUGAUAUGUGUACCUAAAAUCUUGACUGGAAAUGUCUUAUUGUUGAUAAUCUAUAAAGAUGGUUGGGAGUGAAAUAAAUGAAUUGAGGAUAUAAAGUGUGGCCAACGUGCCAAUAGUGAAAGUUAUACUUGUGGCCAAUGGUGCCAAUGAAAUGAAAUAAUGUGAGAAAGAUUAUUAAAUGAUCUUUGACUCAGCUAUUCCAAAAUUGACUUCGAUAAAAUAAUUGGCUAAAAGCUUAUGAACUCAAGUGAUGCCCAUAUGUGGCUGUUUUAUCUAAUGCUAUGCUUUGUAAGUAUUAUUCAAUAUGUUUUGCGUUCUUACAUAUUCGUGAGUAGAAAUUGGGUAUGAUUUUAACUUGUGCUUCGAUUGCCAAUCAUUUUACUCCAUUUAUUGGAAAGAAAUCUAUUGUGUUUAAAGCUUUCAUUACUAAUGAACUUAAAGUUGUGAUUUUUGAAAUAUUCUACUUGUUGAUAAUUAUGAUGAUGAUCUAUGAAAGGGAAGAAAUGAAAGUGUGGAAUAUGAAAUACGACCAUUGCGCCAUGAAUAAAGAAUCAUAUGUUUGGCCAAGAGAGCCAAUGAAAUAAUAAUGUUGUAAGUGGUUGAAAGUACGGAUUAAGUGAUAUGUGGUGUGAAAGGUUAUGAGAUGUACGUAUUUGUACUUUUGUUUCCAAUGUGUUAUGAAAUCCUAUGGACAGUCUAUGAAAUGCAUAGGUAUAUUGUGUUAAGAAAUCCUGUGGACGGUCUACGAAACGCAUAGGAAUAUUGUGUUAUGAAAUCCUGUAGACGGUCUAUGAAACGCAUAGGUAUAUGGUGUUAUGAAAUCCUGUGGACUGUCUAUGAAAUGCAUAGGUAUAUGGUGUUAUGAAGUCCUGUGGAAGGUCUAUGAAAUACAUAGGUAUAUUGUGUUAUGAAAUCUUAUGGACGGUCUAUGAAACAUAUAGGUAUAUUGUGAUCUAAAAUCCUAUGGACGGUCUAUGAAACGCGUAAGUAUAUUGUAUUAUGAAAUCUUGUAGACGGUCUAUGAAAUGCAUAGGUGCAUUGUGUAUGAGAAUUAUGGGUGUACGAUAUGAAUAAACACUAUGGACGAUCUAUGAAAUGCAUAAGUGUGUAAUAUGAUAUGUGAACAUUAAGGACGGUCUAAUGAGACACAUUAUUAAUGCAGACAAUAUGUGCCACUUUCGUUGUCCUUGAUUAUACAAGGUGUUUCAAUUACAUUAUAUUAUGUGUUCCACGUAUAGAUCAUAUAGGCAUUCUCUUUUGAAAGAGGAUUACUAGAUAUACAUACUAGUGCUAUUCGACAGUACUAACGUCCCUUUUGUUGGUGGCGCUGCAUCUUUAAUGGAUGCAGGUGCUUCUACAGAAGGUGGCAUUGAUAAGUGAUAGCAGUACACUCUUUUCAGUUGAUUUGGUGAGCCCCACUUUAUUUCGGGGUCAUGUUUCUUUUAUUUCUCAUGUACUUUGUGGUUGAGGUAUAGCCGGGGCCUUUUUGCUGGCAUUUCCACAUUACUCUUCAGUUAUACUUAGAGGCUCCGUAGACAGGUUGUGGGUGGUAUUUGAUGUUGGGAGUUGGAUAAGAACUGUUGGUAUUUGGCAACAUGUUUUUCAUUAAAUCUAUAAACUCAUAUUAUUUUGGAAAUAUUGAAUGAUGCUGUUAAUAGGAAUGAAAUGGAAGCGGUUAAUGAAAUCUUUUCAGUAUUUAAUUAAUAGAGUACAUCUCCUCUUUUCUCAAGGAUGAAUUUGGAUAGAAUGAAAUCUAACAGGCUUUCUAAGUCGGGUUUACUCGGUUGAGCGCUGGUCACGCUCCCCGAGUUUGGGGCGUGACAUGUAACCUUACUAAGCCCGAGGCAGAAAGAACCACCCUCCCCCCCGCUAAGAAUUUUUCUUUGAAAGCAGGACAAACGGUACAAGGAAAUGCUGGAGCACAUUGGAGAAAUGACAGACCCGCCAUUCUCUCAUAACUAUCAUCUCUCUUUGAUUAUUCUAAUUUUUACUCAUAUAAUUAAAAACUAAAUCUCAAAUCAUUUGCAGGUAUUUCGAACCAGGUCGCCGAUGCAAGCUGAGCAUAUUGUAAAUAGCAAACCGUCUGCUCAACCGAGCUGAGCAUGUUGUAUAUAGCGAGCUGCUAGCCCUACCAAUCGGAGCCAUAUAUAUAGCAAACCGUUAACUCAAUCAAUCGGAGCGCCCUGUAUAAAUUCUAGUCAUCAGCUUCGCCAAUCGAAUCCCUGUAUAUAGCAAUUUAUUCGCUUCAUCAAUGGGAGCGUUCUGCACCGCCACUCCGACAUAUUAGAGAUUACCACUAUAUAGGUGAAAACCUCAUCACCAACGUUUUGCCGAUCGACGGCCGCAAUUUAGUUUCGUAGUCAAGAGUAUCUCUUUGGAAUUCCCCUUAUUUCUUUAUUUUAUCUCGAAUGUUUUGACGUUUUGCUCAUGCCGCUUACAGACAUGAUUACAUUUUCAUGACAGAAACUCCCAUCGUGCAGAGAUACGUUGCAUUUAAAUGCAACUACUCCCAUCACGCAGAGAUACAUUGUACAGCUACUCCUAUUAGGCGGAGAUACAUUCUACAUUACAUGUCAACUACUCCCAUCAGCGGAGAUACUCUCAAUGUUAGUAGACUUAAUGCUCUGACAGCAAUGGAAUGUAACACAACCCAGCUAACAAUCGAGUCAAAUUCAAGUAACCCAUCAUCCCAUUAGUGCAUCAUCAUCAUUAGUGCAUCAUUUAUCACAUAUCAUCAUUAGCAUUUACAUCACAUUUUAACAUAUAUGCAUUAUGGUAUAUGGGUAAGUGUAUUUUAUUUUUACGGGAUCAAUUAUCGCGACAUGAAAUUUCUUCUAAGCAGCAAACCAAGAAACAAUGCUAUGAGUGACAACAAACUCAUAAGCGGGCCAAGGACCCGGACUCAAACUCGAAAAUAAUCACUGGAACUCUACUUCUUCAAAUCCUUCAAAUCAAGCAAAAAUUCAAGAGCUAUCAUGGGUACCAAAUCUUAUGUCAUGCAGUUUCAUCAUAAUAUGAUACUGGGGCAAUUCUUGGGAGCAUCGCCUCCUCCGAAUCAUCACUCUAGAACUACAUAAGGCCUGAUCUUCGUUAAGCCCGAAGUAUGUAAAAAUUCAAAGCCAGAAUUCGGCCCCAACUCCCCAAAAUUCUCCCUGAAUUUCCCUUAAACUCCUAAUUCUACAACUCAUAAUCUUCCUUAAAUCUGUAUGCCAUUCAUGCGAUGUAUUCCUAAAGUUGGGGCAAAAUUGGCCUUGGUUCAAUUUCUUUGCCCGAAAACUCUUUCAGCGUCUCCGGUCAAAGAGGGGCAGCUGUUGACGAUCAACUUUGACCCUCCUUUUAAAAUUUAAUUUAUUUACACUUAUUAAUUUCCAAUAUAUGUUAAAAAUAUUUUCUAAUUAAUAAAAACUAUUUUUAAGUAAUUAAUAGUUUUAAUUAGUAAUUUAUUCAUUAUAUAAUUAUAAAAAUAUUAUCUUUACUAUUUUACCAUUUUUUAUAAAUAUUAAAAUAAUUUUCAUAUUCAUCACAUAGGUAUAUAAUUAUUUUAAUAAGCUAUUCCUCAAUAUUUGGCAACACAUCCUAUUAUUUCAAAAUGAACUCGGAGUUACUGUAGUAAAUAGGAAAAUAUGAUAUUUGGUAACUAAUUAGUUAUUUAUAGUAAUUGGUAGUAUAUUUAAUUAUUAUAAUUUCUACUGCAUUUUGUUGGAAUUAUUUAUGUUUAAUUAAAUUAAUCUUUAAAGGGAUGAAGACCAAAUGGCUACAUUUACAAUUGUACAAUUAAAUACAAAGGGAUUAUUCUUUAAAAUAUUUUUAGCCCAAUAUCCAAUCCCAAACGUAUCUGAUCCAGUCCAAAUGCCCCUGUAAUCCACUUUGGCGAUUCAAGACCCCCCCCUACACCAAUCAAAACUCGCCAUUCCCCACACCGCUCACAAAAGAAACCCAAUCAAUCUCGGCCUUCCAUCUCUCAGAUUAGCGGCCCGUGUUUAUCCUUAUUUUCCCCUUUAAUUUUAAUACUCUGUCAGAUUCAAUCUUAACCGUCCAAAUCCUAGAAUCCAACGGUAUUAAUAAUACACCAUUUUAAUUAUUUAAUCUUUGAUUUAUUAGGACCGUUGAUCUAAAGAUCCGACGGCCCAGAUCUCUUCAACCCGUUUAAGCCCCUAGAGACCAACCUAAUCCCCUCAAACCCUAAUCAUUAGUCUCCCAGACUCGGCCACCCCCCUUUCCCCUUCCUGUCUCUAUUCUCUCAAAUCCAAGACCCCAUAAAUCCCAAAAACCUUGCACCAAAUUGUGCAAGGUUGUAAAUAAUGACUUCAAAUCAUCCCUUGUGCCUUCUGACUCCGUGAAUCUCGCCAAUGUCUCCUUAUUUCAUCAUAUGAAUUCGAAAUCUCAAGUUUUUUGACUUAGACUCGAAGAUGAAACUUCAAAUCUUCAAGAUCUUCUUGUGAUGCAAACAAAUCAGAGCAUGCAUGAGCAUCUCAUUAUGUUUAUUCGAAAUCGGAGGUCAAAUGCAAUGACCUAUGGAUUUUCAUUCUUCGUCCGAUGGUUUUUAGUAUGUUUGGUUGAGGUGCCGAUGGCCUCGGGUUAAUUUCGGAUGAUUGUCGGAUUGAUUUGAAGUUAGAGAGGAAUGCUGAAGCUCACCAGCUUCUAGUGUAAUCGCACCUGCAUAGUAGGGAUCGCAUGUGCAUUCUCGCAGAAGCGAGAUGGGAGCCGCAGAAGAGGCCAAGGAGGAAGUGAUCAGAGGUUGCAGGUGCGAUGUUAUCUUCACACCUAUGUGAUCACAAAUAUGAUGUUAAGGGUGCAGAAGUGGAGAGCUAGUAUGUGCGAUGGGGAGUUCCGCACCUGCGGAUGCGCAAAUGCGAGGCAAGGACCGUAGAAGAGGAGGCCCAGCUCCAAUGGUUCACCGUAGAAGCAGAAGUUUGGCAACUUCUGUGACACCGUAAAUGCAAUUAAGUGUCAGCAGAAGCUUAAAGGCUGGACAAAAAGUUAAAUCCAAGGAUCUGCAAUUUUGGCUUCAUUUCAAACAUUUCAUGCACGGUUUAGGCGAUGUUUGAGAGGGUUUUGAGUGGAUUCUUGAGGUAAGUCCCUUGUGCUCAUUUUUGAUCAAUAAUAUUGCUUCCCCAUUGAUUUUUCCCACCUAGUUGGUAUGUAUUUAAGGUGUAAAUUGGGAGUUUGAGGCUAGGGAUUUGGAGGGUUCGAUUUGGGGAUUUGGGUGACAAUUUGGUGUCGAAUUUUGAUAAAUUUGGAAUGGACAUACUCGUGGUUGAGUGGGAUUUUGUGUUUUGUGACUUUUAUUGAAUUUCGAGACGUGGGCCCAGGGUGGCUUUUGAGCCAAUUUUUUAUUUUGAUUAAUAACUUAGUAAUUUCUUAUGGAGUUGAUUCCUUUAGCCCGUAUUGAUUUUAUCGCAUUGUUUGUGGCUAGAUUCGAGGUUUGCAGAGGCCAUUUCGCGAGGCACGGGGGUGUUGGAGUACAAAUUUGCUCAUAUUGAGUUAAGUAACAUUUCUAAAUUUCGUUCUGAGGGUACAAAACCCCGUAUUACGUGUCAUGUUUUUGGUUUUGAGGAGACACACAUACUAGGUGACAGGCGUAUGGGCGUGCACUGUAGGAAUUGUGACUUGGUCAAAUUUCGUGGAAAUGUGUAGUUGUAUAAUAUUAGAGCCUAGGUUACAUAGGUCUCACGAGUCAUGAUCAGGUUUAGUAGAGUCUUGCAGAUCGGUAUGAAGACGUCUGUACUUAUCUUCGAAAGGCCACCGAACCCAUAGGAAAUUUCACAUUCUUGUAUUCUCAUCGUGCAGAUUUGUUGUUUCCGGUAACUAAACGUCUGUAUUGUAUUCUAUCCCAUAUGGUGAGGACACGUGCUACCGGAUAGGAUGGACAACCACUAGUACCACCAGCUAGGGCCACGAGAGGUCGAGGUCGCGGUAGGGGUCGCGAUAGGGGUAGAGGUGCAACUCGUACAACAGCUAGAGCAGUACCUGUAGAUCCAUCAAUUACUCGAGCUCAGGAGUAGGUUCCACAUGUAGUUGAGACAGUGGAGCCAGCUUAGGCACCAACUGUGCCCAUUGUGAUUCCAGACCUUCAGGAGGCGUUGGCCCAGGUGUUGACAAUUUGCAUUGGUCUUGCUCAGGUGGUUUUGGCUCAGGCCGCACCAGCCACUUCUCAGGCCCGGGGAUGGACUUCACAUAUCGGAGGUACAACCCGCCCAACCAGUUACAGCUGCUCAGGCCCUGAUGGUCCCAGUUAUGGCUGAUGAUGAGUAGAGGAGUCUUGAGAUAUUUGGGAGGCUCCGGCCUCCAUCAUCUAGCGGUGCUGAGUCGUAGGAUGCCCAUGUCUUCUUCGACAAGUGCCAGCGGAUGCUUCGUACAGCAGGUAUUCAGGAGACUAGUGGGGUCGCGUUCACUACCUUUCGGUUAUCUGGGGCUGCCUUCCGAUGAUGGGAGGCUUAUGAGAGGCACAUGGCAGUUGGUUCAGAACCACUUGCAUGGUAGGAGUUCUCCAUUCUCUUUUUGUAGAAGUUCGUGUCGCAGUCUCACAGGGAGAAGCUACAUAGACAGUUUGAGCAGCUUCGGUAGGAUGGUAUGUCUAUGACCCAGUACGAGAUGAGUUUUUUUAAGUUUGCUCAUCACACAGUUUGGUUGGUUCCCACUAAUCGGGAGAGGAUCAUGAGGUUCAUUUAUGGACUCACGUAUCAGUUUCGGUUUCUUAUGACUAGGAAGAAGGUAUCUGGUGCAAAUUUUGAUGUGGUGGUUGACAUUGCUCGGCAGCUAGAGAUGGCCCAUAGCUAGGAGCAUGGUAUAAGGGAGGCUAAGAGGCCUCGAGGUUUGGGCGGUUUUUGUGGUGUGCCUUCUGAGGGGCAGUCCUACCACAGCAUGGGUCAUCCUUAUAGGCCCGCUCAGACGGCCCGUCUAGCUCAUCGUGGUGCAUCAGCUAGCCACGGUUCUUACAGCACUCACUCAAGCCGGUCUUUAUUCUGUGCACUACCAGCACAGAGUUCUCACCAUGCCUCAUCCUCUCAGGUUUCUGCAGGUAGUUCUGCGGGUUAUCAGGAGUAGCAUUUUCGUUAGAGGAGAGGUUAUUUCGAGUGCGAAGACUUUGGUCAUAUCAAGAGAGAUUGCCCUAGGUUGUUGAGUAGGGCUCCCCAACAGAGUUCUCGGCUGAUGGCACCAGCACCAACAGUUACACCACCCACUCACCCAGCUCAGGGUGGGGCUCAGUCUAUUAGGGGUCGCCCUAGAGGGGGAGGUCGCUCAGGUGGCAGUCAGGCCCGAUUCUAUGCUAUCCUUGCCAUACCAGAUGUUGUUGCCUCCGAUGCAGUGAUCACAAGUAUUGUCUCAGUACGCCACAUGGAUGCUUCUUCAUUAUUUGACUCUGGUUCCACAUAUUCGUAUGUAUCAUCGUAUUUUUCUCAUUAUCUGGAUAUGCCCCGUGAGUCCUUAGUUUCAUCUGUUCGUGUAUCUAAGCCAAUGGGCGAUACUAUUAUUGUGAAUCAUGUGUAUCGAUCAUGUGCAGUUACUAUUGGGGGAUUAGAGACUAGAGCGGAUAUUGGGUAUGGAUUGGCCGUUUCUAUGUAAUACUGUUAUGGAUUGUCAUGCUAAGACCGUGACGAUGGCGAUGCCGGGGUUGCUAAGUAUCGAGUGGAGUGGUUCUCUAGACUAUGUUCCCAGCAGAGUGAUUUCAUAUUUGAAGGCCCAACGGAUGGUUGGGAAGGGUUGUUUGUAUUAUCUGGCCUUUAUGAGGAAUAUUGGUGCUGAUUCUCCUGCUAUUGACUAUGUUCCGGUGGUGCGUGAUUUUUCGGAGGUGUUUCUUGCAGACCUGUCGGGCAUGCCGCCCAACAGACCUGUCCGGGGAGCCUCGGGUUGAUUUCGGAUGGUUGUCGGAUCGAUUUGAAGUUAGAGGGGAAUAUUAAAGCUCACCAGCUUCUAGUGUAAUCGCACUUGUAGAGUGGGGAUCGCAUGUGCGUUCUCGCAAAAGCGAGAAGGGAUCUGCAUAAGCGGCUAGGGAGGAAGUGAUCAAAGGUUGCGGGUGCGAGGUUAUUUCCGCACCUGUGUGAUCGCAUAUGCAGUGUUAAGGGCACAGAAGCAUAGGGCUCGCAGGUGUGAUGGGGAGUUCCGCACCUGAGGAUGCGCAGAUGUGAGGCGAGGACUGCAGAAGCGAAAUGUUGGUCGCUUCUGCGACACCGUAGAUACGGUUAUGAGUCUGCAAAAGUAGAAAGGCUGGAUAGAAAGUUAAAUACAAGGAUUUGCGAUUUUGGCUUCAUUUCAAAUAUUUCAAGCACGGUUUUGGUGACUUUUGAGAGGGUUUUUGAGGGGAUUCUUGAGGUAAGUCCCUUUUGAUCAUUUUUUAUCAAUAAUAUUGCUUCCCCAUUGAUUUUCCCCACCUAGUUGGUGUGUAUUUAUGGUGUAAAUUGGGAGUUUGAGGCUAGGGAUUUGGAGGGUUUGAUUUAGGGAUUUGGGUGACGAUUUUGAUAAAUUUAGUAUGGAUAGACUUGUGGUUGAGUGGGCUUUUGGGUGUUGUGACUUUCAUGAAAUUUCGAGAUGUGGGCUCGAGGGUCUGACUUUUGAGCCGAUUUUUGAUUUUGAUUAAUAACUUAGUAUUUUCUUAUGGAGUUGAUUCCUAUAGCCUGUAUCUAUUUUAUCGCAUUGUUUGUGGCUAGAUUCGAGGCAUUCAGAGGCCGUUUCGCGAGGCAAGGGGGUGUUGGAGUAGAGAUUUGCUUGUAUUGAGGUAAGUAACAUUUCUAAAUUUGGUUUUGAUGGUACGAAACCCCGUAUUACAUGUCAUGCAUUUGGUUUUGAGGAGACACACAUGCUAGGUGACGGGCGUGUGGGCGUGCAUCGUAGGAAUUAUGACUUGGUCAAAUUCCAUGGAACCGUGUAGUUGUAUAAUAUGUUGUUAUCUGUAUAUUCUCCAUGCAGUAUAGAAAUUAAACCACAAAUCAUGUUAGAAAUCACGUUUGGACUGUGUGUUGGCACUGUAGGGACCCGCAAAGGUCGUGUACAUGUUGAAUUAUCUGCUAAAUUUUUCUUUUGUACUCGAUCACAAUUUUACUUGCUUAUUAUAUCUCAGUCUCUAUUGUUCCUUGUUGAUACAUUAUGUCAUUUCUAUUGGGGCUGACUUUCAUGACUAGAGCCUGAGAGACUAGAGAGAUUUAUGACUGAGUAAGGCAGAGGGCCCGAUUAUGAGAUAGUAAUACUAUAGCACGUCAGUUGUCCGUGCAGAUUCAGAUAUUAUACUAUAGCACGUGAGUUGUCCGUGCAUCACGUGAGUUAUGCUAACCCAGGGGCAUCCGGUCACGGCGGUUGCUAAGUUUUGGUGUUCAGAUUCUCAGAGACUAUCGAGGUAGUUGCUUGGAGUUUUGCAGACCUUGUUUCUCCUUCACUAUCUUUCCACUUAUUGUAUUUAGUUUCAGACUAUUGAUGGUAGGCUAUAAUUGCAGGUUUUAGCUGCUUAUCGCACUCUAAUUUACUGCACUUUAAUUGAGUUGAGCUUUAAUCGCUUGUGUUUUACACUAAUUAUAUAUUUUAUGCCUUGUAGGAGUGAUUCCGAACUAUAUAGAUGUUAUAGGGUGAAUUCACGCUAUUUUGGAGCUUUAAAGUCUGAGUAAAAGCCCAAGGCCUUAGUUGGGAUCGAGUUUGGGGAUCAACUGACACUAGUGCAUUCAAAGAGAGAGACAAAGAAUCGACCCGGGUGUCACCCAGGUGCGCAAGCGCGAACUGGAUGUGAACUGGGCGCACAUGUGAGGCAGUGUAUUGUGCAAAAUGCGCGACCAAGUGUGCGAGCACAUCUCCAGGUGUGUGGCCGCGCACGUCCAGUUUAGGGAGAGUCCUAUUUCGUGAAUGAGAAGGUGUGUUUGUUUGGGCCCGACCCUACUUGAUAUAUAUACAUGGAAAAUGGUAUUUUGAGGACUUUUGACACAUCUAAGACCUAAGCAGGCUACGGAGAAGUGGGAGAAGCAAGAGCACAAGGAUUUCAUCAUUUAAUCCUAACUCAGGACAAGGGUUUGAAUUGUUUUAUGUUUUCCUUUAACUUAAACUUAAUUGUGAUGAAUUACUCCAUAUCUAUGGAGUAGUUCUCUUUAGGUAUUGAUGGAUUUGGUGUAUUGAGAAUUGUUUGUGGAUAUUACCUCAAGUUUUUAUGUAUUGAAUCAUUUUUGGGCGUUUUAAUUAUUGCAUCUAUUUUCACAUGUUCAUGUAAUCAAAUGAGGCAUAACUUGUGAUGUUUUUGCAUUAUCUUGUUGGUUAAAUUCAUUGAUUUUUCUUUGUAAUCGAAAAAGGAUAGUUGAAUUAUUGUUUAUACUUAGGAGGAAAAUCAAAAGAGGUUCUCCUAAAGACCAAUCCACUAUCUUAACCGAGCUUAACUUAGUUCUUAUUGUGAGGUUGAGAUUUAAUCGAGAGAGGAGAUUCUACUGAACGCUUGAACCAAUAAUAGAGUGAAUUCGAGAGACUCACUUGAACCUUAGAAGUGAAUCGACUAGAGUAAAAUCCUAGACAAUUAUCUUGCACCUAUCCAAUCAACCCCUUAUUUUCUCCCAUUGAUAUCUUUCCUUACUCAUUACUUGCGUUGAUUGUCAUUAGUCAAUAGUCUAGACUUUUAGUAAAUUUUAGUUUUAAAUGACACAAAUCUAAAUUGUCGAUCAUCUUGGAUAGCCAUUAAACUAGAAGCUACGAAAACACUGUUUCUAUACUAUAUUCGACUAGCGAGCAUAUUCAAGUGUGUAUUUUAAGCUCGUCAAUUUAGGCGUCGUUGCCGGGGAUUGGCAAUUAAUAGUAUUUGAAAUAGUUUAUAGUGCUAAUUCAGGAAUUUUUCUUUUUAUUUUAUUUUUUUCUCAUUUUACGUUUGGUGUUACUUGAUUGUGCACAGGCUACAGGUUAGAUUGGUGUAUGACUCGAUCUUCUGGGAAGGAAGUACUCCCAUACAAACCAGAAAUCGAAAAACAACUGCGACAGUUGAGGAAGGAAAGAAAUCUCUCCGAGAAUACAGAGAAGGUAGGGCAAUCCUCAAGUAAGGAAGUUAUGGCGGGAGAUGAGGAUAAUAUUGAUUUGGCUGCGAGGGAGGCAUACCAGCAAAGAGAAAAAGUUGCACGAGAUGCGAAUGAGACAGCUCUUUAAAAUACACAACUUGUCUUUGAGGAGGAGAGGGAUCGGGAAUGACUCGAAAUCAACCUUUUGAUUUAACAUAUAUGUAUUACGGUAUAUGGGUAUCGCGACAUGAAAUUUUUUCUAAGCAGCAAACCAAGCAACAAUGCUAUGGGGGACAACAAGCUCAUAAGCGGGCCAAGGUCCCAGACUCAAACUAGAAAACGAUCGGUAGAACUCUAAUUCUUCAAAUCCUUCAAAUCAAGCCGCAAUUCAAGAGCUAUCAGGGAUACCAAAUCUUUCGUCUCGUAGUAUCGUCAUAAUACUAUACUGGAAAAAUUCCUGCGAGCAUCACCUCCUUCGUAUCAUUACUUCAGAACUACAUGAGGCCUGAUCCUCAUUAAGCCUGAAGUAUGUAAAUAAUUCAAAGCCAGAAUUCGGCCCCAACUCCCUAAAAUACUCCCAGAAUUUUCCAUAAACUCCUAAUUCUACAACUCAUAAUCUUCCUUAAAUCCAUAUGCCAUUCCUGUAAUGUAUUCCUAAAGUUGGGGCAAAAUUGGCCUUGGUUCAAUUUCUUUGCCCGAAAAUUCUUUCAGCGUCUCCGGUCAAAGAGGGGCAUCUGUUGACGAUCAAUUUUGACCCUCCUUUUAAAACUUAAUUUAUUUACACUUAUUAAUUUCCAAUAGAUGUUAAAGAUAGUUUCUAAUUAAUAAAACCUAUUUUUAAAUAAUUAAUAGUGUUAAUUAGUAAUUUAGUCAUUAUUUAAUUAUAAAAAUAUUAUCUUUACUAUUUUACCAUUUUUUUAGAAAUAUUAAAAUAAUUUUCAUAUUCAUCACAUAGGUAUAUAAUUAAUUUAAUAAGUUAUUCCUCAAUUUUUGGCAACACAUCCUAUUAUUUCAAAAUGAACUCGGAGUUAGUGUAGUAAAUAGGAAAAUAAGAUAUUUGAUACCUAAUUAGUUAAUGAUUGUAAUUGGUAAUGUAUUUAAUUAUUAUAAUUUCUACUGUAUUUUAUUGGAAUUAUUUAAGUUUAAUUAAAUUAAUCUUUAAAGGGAUGAAGACCAAAUGGCUACAUUUUCAAUUGUGCAAUUAAAUACAAAAGGACUAUUCUUUAAAAUAUCUUUAGCCCAAUACCCAAUCCCAAACGUAUCUGAUCCAGUCCAAAAGCCCCUUUAAUUCACUUUGGUGAUUCGCGUCCCUCUCCCUACAACAAUCAAAACUCGCCAUUCCCUACACCACUCACAAAAGAAACACAAUCAAUCUCGGUCGUCCUUCUCUCAGAUUAGCGGCCCGUGUUUUUUAUCCUUAUUUUUCCCUUUAAUUUUAAUACUCUAUCAGAUUCAGUUUUAACCUUCCACAUUCAAGCAUCCAAUGGUAUUCAUAUUGCACCAUUUUAAUUAUUUAAUCUUUGAUUUAUCAGGUCCGUUGAUCUAAAAAUUUGACGGCUCAGAUCUCUUCAACCCGUUUAAACCCCUAGACCAACCAAAUCCCCUCAAACCCUAAUCAUUUGUCUCCAAGACUCGGCUGUCCCCCUUUCCCCUUCCUCUCUCUAAUCUCUCAAAUCCCAGACCCCAUCAACCCCAGAAACCUUGCACCAAAUCGUGCAAGGUUGUAAAUAAUGACCUCAAAUCAUCCCUUGUGCCUUCUGACUCCGCGCAUCUCGCCGAUGUCUCCUUAUUUCAUCAAAUGAAUUCAAAAUCUCAAGUUUUCAGACUUAGACUCAAAGAUGAAACUUCAAAUCUUCAAGUUCUUCUUGUGAUGCUACAAAAUCAGAGCAUACAUGAGCAUCUCAUUAUGUUUAUUCGAAACUGGAGGUCAAAUGCAAUGACAUCUGGAUUUUUGUUCUUUAUUCGAUGGAUUUCUCACCUGCAACGGCAUUCUUCCACUCAAGUAAAACUCCUACGAUUUUUCCCUCUAAUCUUUUGAUUUUCACUCUUUUUGCUCGCAUAAAUAAACCCUCCGUCACUCUCCAGUAUCGAUUUGACUUUUUGUUGAACCCUAAGGCAUCAUCGGCAAAUAUAAAUAGGAGCCUUCAAUCCCCCUACCUAACACGACCUAACACACAACACAACAUACAAAACAGAACAGAAAGCUUAAGAGAAUAAAAGCCCUAAACUUAUCACUGAUUUUCUUUUCCUUCUCCGCUGUUGAGUUCGUCUACUAUUCGAGCUUGAGUUCGGAUUCUUAACGGCUAAACAAGAAGUUUUUGCUUGGUUUGCUGUUCCGUAGAAGGUCAGUGUACACUGACCCUCCCUUUCUUUUGAUCAUUCUUAUUGUUCUAUGAUAUAUCAUGUUUUCUUCUGUUGGUUAUUGUCAUCCAUGAUGCGUGUUAGUUGUUUUUGAUUGAUUAUUAGGUUCCGCUCUUAUGUGUUAUCAUUAUUGUUUGAGUUAAUCAUCUCCUAAUAAUUUGUGUUAGUAUGGCGGGUUAAUCUAUGUUAAUGAACUUCAUGACUUAAUUGGAUAAAUAGUUGUUAUUAGAGAAUGACAAAAACUUUUCUGAGCUUUUUUCAUUGCUUAGAAAUCUUUUAAUGAUUCUAUAUGUGUUUGUUAACUGUAAUACCAUGUUUAGGUAGCUUGAUCAAGCAGUAUUCUUUAAACAUCUCUUGAUAUCUCGUCAAGGGUUGAUGUCUGCUACAUUUUUGCUAUAUUGUCUCUUGAAGAUAAGCAAUGCUAUAUCAUUUGUCAACAUUUAUUUUCCUCAUGGUAUCUAUGUUAUACCGACGUAACUUGUUUGCUUAGAUUGAUUAAUCUGCUAUUGAAACCAUGCUUACCUUAACAUGUAAAACUCACAUGAUUUUGUGACUUUUACUUCUGUGGUGGAUUCACUAGCUUAGUUGUUGGAACAUCUGCUCACUUUAUAUGUUAUGUAAGCUUGCAAACCUUUAGAAAUACUACAUUAUAUAUAUAUAUAUAUAUAUAUGCCUGGGUUGCUUCCCCUCGUCCAAUAUGCUUCUAUGAUUUUGAGACUUCUUAAGAGAUUACUAUAAAGGUGCUCUUGUCCGCUUCUUUGGUUAUGUGAUCAUAUCUAUGAAGGCUCACCCAAAUGUAAAUAUGUCUUGAAAUGAGACUGGUUUAGGUUCUAAUGAAUUUUUGUAGUUAAUAUGAAGUUUGACUACUACAAUUGAUAUAGACCGAGCAUGUUUAGAAUUGUCUUCAAGGACCUGAUUAAGAGACAAAAUUUGGUUGAGAGUUAUAACUGUUGUAAAUGUAUAUCACCCCUGAACUAACCAUACGAAGUUAAACUUCAUCAUGCUUGAGCUGAUGCAUUCACCUGUGUAACUGGCCUACUUAUCUUGCUUCUAGUAUCCUACUUAUUCCAUGUUAAACCUUCUUUGAUAUGAACUUUUGUACUGAAUUUGUUUGCCUGACCCUAUGCUCUAUCAUAUUGUAGUCUUACACUCCUUAGGGACAUUUCUUGUAUGUGUUUGAUUGUAUGCUCUUGGAUAUUUGUACUCAUUCCUGUUAUCAAACAGACAUCUGCUUAUCUUUCAUACUCAUGCCUAUGUUCUCAGAUAGCCCUAAAACAUAAAGAAGAUUGAACCUUGCUAAGUUUGCAUAAGUCAACUAUGAUUCAUUUGUGAAUUUGAGAGAGUCUUCUGAUGAUAUUUGUUCUGCUUAAGUACAAUAUUAUGCCUUGACUCUUAAUGAACCAAGUGAGAAUGUGAUAUCAAGAAUCUUUUAAGGAGAAAGUAAUCAUCUAUUAGAGUUGAAACCAAUUUGUUUGCUUAAAUACUCAUGUUAAUUCUCUUUAAAGAUCCUAUAUGAAACUAUUAACCCAUACGCCUAUUAAAACUUUAGACUUGAUAUGUGCAUGCACACCUUAUUAACUUAAGCUAGAUUGUUAAGUUUGAGGACCUUUAUAAAUUUGAACUAUGCACCUCUUCUGCUUUUUAUGUUGCCCGACUCAAUGAUUUGAACCUUUGAAAUAAUCUACUAUUGAUCUUUUCCCUUAAUUGUACUUGUAAUUGUUUUCUAUGGACAUUAUUCUGCAUAUUAACGAUUCUUAACAAUGAACUACACAUUGGUGUUUGGAUUGUGAUCUCUUUAAUGUUAUCUGUUAGUACAUGUUCACAAUAACAUUCUAUGUAGUUACUGCUGGAAGUACACAUGCCUAAAUCUUUGAAUUAUUGUUACAACUGUAUUGAAAAUUACAAAUAAAUGCCUCAUUGACAUUUAAACCUAUAAAGAGGAGUAAGUAUGAGUGGUUAGGGGUAUUUAGGAGUGAAAUUUAAUUUGUGGUUCAGAUACUCUCCCUGACACAAUCAUUGCUCGGGGUCCUUGAGACCCUUGUAAAUUUUGAAGUGCUAGGGGCUCAAAGGGUGUAUUGGCUAUAAAUGGAAUUUCACCUUAAGCCCUUAAUCAUUGACAUUUGAUAAUCUCUUUAGGGUUAGUGUCUAAUAAAGAAAUGGCUUCAUUGUAAUUUUCCUUACUCUGUUUGAUUUUACACAGUUUCAUUUACAUUCUUAACCAUCAAUAUCUGUGACAGUCUCAUUUGGGCCUUGUGUUUGAUCUUAUCUGCAUUUAAACAUUUUGUUGGGCUUCAACACAAAUUUAUUCCUUUUUCUCUUAAGCAUGUAACUGAACUGGGCCUGUUGAGGUUUUAAGAACUCAGGCCCAAGUUCCAGCUUUUGAGUCUAAAGUCAGGGGAGCCGCUGCUUCUUGUCCGCUAUUCGCUGGGCCUAACCUUCUUCAAGCCCAAAUUACUGAGUCUAGUUCCUUUUCCUUCCUCGUUGUUAGAUGAAUUGAAUCUGUUAUCUUUUUCUUUACAUGUGUAUAAUACUAACGAUAUUGAUUGAAUGUUUUAUUUUUCUUAAACCUUUUAGGAACCUUGGCAAGACAAGAUCCAUAGGUAAUAAAAGAAAUCACUGUUACAUUACAAUUAGCCAUAAAAUUUUGGCACUUUG